GACUAUACAAUUGCGUAAAGGGAGGCACAUCAGUAUGGAACGAAUAAGCAAAUUAAGUAGACUAGCUUUCAUCGACACAUACUGAAUGAGAUGUGAGUUUCUGGAGUUGUUGACCUUAUUCCAUAGAUAGUGAAGUGUCCUUAUGCAAAAUGAAAGAUAUAGAGAAUGGGUCGGCCAGGCAGGAAGGAGGCGCAACGCAUUCCUGGUUGUUUAGUGGGACAUUUUCAGCUGAGUAAUAAAACUUUACGACUGAAUCGGAAAUUGGAUUGGCUGUAACUUGACAUGUGACUCUCUCUCCAUGAACAACUUUAUACUGUUGUCUCCCCCUGAUUACUAUCUUUCUCAAUCGGUACACGACCUGGCCGUUUAAGCGACAGCAUUUUUCGCGUUCUAUACAGAAAUGUGCCUUAUUUUGCAGCACACCUACAUGUUUGCCAUUCCAUUUGACUGCUUCUCCUUCUCCCCUCCCUCUCUCGCUUUGUGUCUCUCCGUCCCUAUCCAGUGCUCCCCCUCACUCUCUCUCUCUCUCUCUCUCUCUCUCUCUCUCUCUCUCUCUUCCCCUUGCGCGCUCAUCGCUGUUAAAUCAGAAGUGGAACCUGAGUAGAUUACUCGGAUUCAGGUUGUGGAUUGUCAUACUUCAGAACCUGAAUAUCUUUCAUUUCGUUUUACAGCGUUGAACGGAAUACAAGCGACAUAUUGGAUAUUAACAAGUUGGGUUCCUCGGUCUCCUUGGUUUCCCUCCAGCGCUGGUAACCGCUGGACCAGUGGAUGUACGUCACUGUAGCAGCAAGGAGAACGUGGGAAUGUCACCUGAGAGGCAAAGUGAGGUGGAUCCUGUUCAGUGACAAAGACAGCAGAUGAGCCUAGCACACCUAUUCCUCUUGGACGACCACAUGGAUGGAUGCUGUGAGGAACCUGGCUCUUGGGCUCCACCUUGAUAUGAUUCUCUAAGGGAGAAUAUGACUGCAGCAGCACUUCACUCAGUGCUCUGACAAGGACCUAAGUGUAGAAGCUAUGGCCUGCACCUACCUCACUCCUGCAGCAAAUGGUGCAUCCUCUGAUCCCCUACAGUAAACAGAGCUUCAGCGAUGGGAAACAAGAGGAGCAAACAAGGCUGAACUCUAGAGCUUAAGGGGGGAUCGUUGUUGGAUCAGCAGUGAUUAUGAAUUAAGUGAUGUUGUCCGUCAGUACAUUAGGUUAUGAUUAGUGAGGGCCGUUGAGAGUAGAGUGCUACUCUCAGGAACUUGGACAAGGGCUAAUUGCUUCAGUACACUGAUCUUGCCAUCAGCCUCUUUUGGACUACACCUCUGAGGACUGUUGUCGACCGGCAGGCUAGUGAACUCUCCAGCUCCACGGACCCUUACCUGUUCCAGUCGGGUUAAUAUGAUAUGUGAUGCUACAGUUGGGACAUUGGUAGAAGCCUCUCACUAUGACAAGUACCUCUGAUAAGAUUGUUCUGAGGACACACAAAAUAUUUAGCUAUUUUGCGAACUACCAAUAUCUGCAGGCCCAUUGUGAUUCAUCAAGUGAGUUGUUUUCUCAUUGCUAAAUUAGAUGAAUGCAUUAAUUGUAUUUUGCUACAGUGUAUUAAGAUAUUCAUAUUGAAUACUGAAACAAUUUAUAUGUUAAACAUAUGUAUAUGUGUUUUAUACACCUGUGAUAAUGACACACCACCAAAUAUUAUGGAAGCCAUAAACUAUGGAAAAAACAGAUUCAAAUUAAAUUUGUUGUACAGAUUGUGAAAUUGUUUAUUAAAUGCUUUAAUAUGAGA